UCGGCGGCGGGUCCUGCCUGGGACGGGCGGCGGCGGCGGGUCCUGCCUGGGACGGGACCGUGGCCCUGGGACGGGACCGUGGCCCUGGGACGGGACUGUGGCGGCGGCUGCUACCCACACCUGCGAGGGCGGCGGGUCCUGCCUGGGACCGGACUGCGGCGGCGGCCCGGAAGGCACGGCGGCUCCCCGGCGGGCGCGGAGAUGUGGCCCCUUAUGGCGGCGCUGCUGCUGGGCUCGGCGUGCUGCGGUUCGGCUCAGAUAACAUUUAAUGUAAUCAAAUCUGUGGAAUACACCGUUUGCAAUGAAACUCUUGUUAUCCCAUGCUUCGCUACUAACGUGGAAACGAAACAGCUUGCAGAGCUGUAUGUAAAGUGGAAAUUUAAAGGAAAAGACAUUUUUAUCUUUGAUGGAAGUAGAAAUCAGUCUACUCCCAGCAGUAAUUUUACAAGUGCGGAGAUCACACCAGAAGAAUUACUACGUGGAAUUGCCUCUUUGAAGAUGAAAAAGAAGGAUGCCGUCCCUGGGAACUACACAUGUGAAGUAACAGAGUUAUCCAGAGAAGGCGAAACAACCAUACAACUAAAAUACCGUGUCGUUUCAUGGUUUUUUCAAAAAGAAAAUAUUCUCAUCAUCAUUUUCCCAAUUUUGGCUAUACUUCUAUUCUGGGGACAGUUUGGUGUUUUGAUACUUAACUCGAAAUCCAGUCGUAUGAAUCAGGAAACCAUUUCUGUGCUUGUUGCUGGACUAUUUCUCACCAUGGUUGUUAUUGUCGGAGCCAUUCUUUUCGCCCCAGGUGAAUAUUCAACAAAGAAUGCUUCUGGGCUUGGUUUAAUUGUAAUUCCUAUGGUGAUAUUACAAGUACUUCAGUACUUUGUAUUUAAGACAAGCUUUGAGAUGAACUACUUUGCCAUUGCCAUAUUGAUUCUUCAGGUGCUGGGCUUUGUACUUGCUGUGGUUGGAUUCAGCCUCUGUGUCUCCGAGUGCGUCCCAGUGCAGGGCCCUCUUCUGAUUUCAGGUUUGGGUAUCAUAGCUCUAGCAGAAUUACUCGGACUAGUUUAUAUGAAAUUUGUGGAGCUGAGAGGCACACCUUCGGUCAGUUGAAGGGCCAGAAGAGAAAAGGUACAGAAAAGUUGCUCUUUAGCCCCUAAUCAGACAACUACUCCACCUCCUAGGAAAGCUGUAGAGGAACCCCUUAAUGCGUUUAAGGAAUCGAAAGGAAUGAUGAAUGAUGAAUAACUGAAGUGGAGUGAUGGACUGUGAUGUGAAGACUGGUGCGACAUUAAAGGAGUACACUUGUAGCUGAGCACCAUGGCCUUCAUGACUCACUACUGGGGAAGAGAAGACAAGAAAAUUAACUGGUUAAGUUUUCAUUCAAAGAAACUGUAAUUUAGUUAAUAAAAGGAUUAUGAUUUGUGCUGUCUGCCCAAUUGAGACCAAGUUUUUUGUUUUGUUUUGUUAUUUUUAUUUUUAUUCAGUUAGGGCAAAAUAGAGUAGACAACUUCCAAGAAUGAUGCAUUCAGAUUCUAGGGCCUCCUGACGUGAAGUCAUCUGUUGAAAUUGGUUCAAAGUGAAAAUUACUGAGCCCCAACCUGGUGAUGUCCACGAAUGUCUGUGAAAAACAGUGGGUUUUAUUGAAAUUCAGGGUCACAGCAGCUUUGGCAAAUACUGUGUUAGCUGGAUUACAUGCCUGCCACUUCUGGGUCAAGGGAGUAGUGAAUUUAUGUGCAGGUAGGAAUUUGGUUGGGAAUAUCUUCUAUGCCACCUGUGUGUAAUGUGAUACCCAUGGAGAUAGUGGGCUUCAUUCUUGGGUGUUGCCAUUUGUACAUUUCUCCUUCAGCCUACAGUAUAACAGAUCCUUUCCAGUUGAGGGUAUUUUUAUUGAUGGAUGUGAUUUCUUUAUCUGCACAACCCUUUGAGCCCUUUCUUGUCCUGCUGUUCCUUGCUUCUAUUGUACAAGACGUAGCCCCUUUUCUCCUCUUUGAACGUGGUCCAGGGACAUGGUGGCAACAGUUGCAGAAAGAAGCCAAACUUGUUCUGAGGGCACUGUGUUAACACUUCUCAGCAAAAAUGGCUAUGGUUAUAACAUGUAUUCCCUUCCUCUGAUUUGAAGGCAAAAUCUGCAGUAUUUCUUCACUUCUUCUCUGACCCAGGGCAUGAAAAACAAAGAUUGAAAUUCGAGCUAUGAGUCUUCUGCAUGGCAGCAUAAUGUGUGUCACCAACAGGCCCACAGGCCGGCCCUUGCCAGGGUGGUUUUAUUACUGUUGUGUCUCUGUUGCAUGAAAAACACUCAACCUCCCUCCUGUAGUCCUGCCUCGUACUCCCUUACUCUGAGAUUGAAAGGUGAAAGAAAACCCCCACAUUCCUACCUUAGCUAGAGAAGAUUAACCUUCUGGCAGUUGUGAUCGCCUGGAGUACUUUUAGGUUAUUAGCACUGGUUUUUUACCUCAUCUGUGUGUGUUUGUGUGUGUGUAAGAUAGGCACAUGCAUUGUCUGUAUAGACAAAGUGGGGUACCUACAGAAGAGCAAAUGUGAAUUCCAUGCUUCUAGUAAAAAUAUGACAAAAAAUAAAGAUCUUUUUUGGGUGAAAUUACAUUUGACUCAAACAUUUGAUCACUUUUAAAACUUAAAGAACUUCUAGGUAACUUGUCAAGCUUUUUCACUGCUCACCAGUACCCUCUUAAAAUACUAGUAAUUCUUCCUGUUUGUGUAGUAAUAAGGCAUUCAUGUUUGUAGUUGCUUUAAUAAUAGUUAUUUCUGAGUCCACCGAAUGUUCUCAUGUGCCUCUUUUAUGCCAAGUUAAUUGUUGUACUUCAUGUUGGGACCAAGUGGUUUGUCCGUGCCAAACCCAAAUUUAAUGACCUGCUGAUGCCUCUCCAAAAGCGGAACACACUAUGGAGACAGCUUGAGAAAAAGAAAAAAUACCUUUCUUCCCUAAUUGUGUCGCUGUCCAGAAUAUUAGCACAUGUGGAGGGAGCUGUAUUCCCUUACGUAAAUCUGAUGUCUCCUGCUGUUCUUUUUUCUUCUGAAGAUGUUUAUGUUUUGCCAACAUGGUUUGUUACUUUGGAAAUCAGUUCUGAUGAAAGGAGGAAAAAAGCAGAUGGAUUUGAAAUAGAUCCAAAUUCCUACUCUUUAUUAAGAAAAAGUCAGGUAUGAAAAUCUUUAUAGUAACAUUUUUUUAUAAACUAAAGUACUUUUUAACAUGCAGUGUACUCCAUUAUUUGGGGUUUAGUUGUGGGAAUGAUGCAGCCCCUGCUUCCUGUGUAAUGCCGCCUGUCUUUUGAGGCAUUCACUGCCCUAAACCAUGCCCUCAGAAGGUAGCAGGCAGAAUGCCAGAUGCAGUCAGCUCUUCCAGUAUCAGCGUCUCUGGAAAAGGGGCCAAAGCAGCAGGAUCAUCUUGCUGGGCAUCUUAGGGCCGGUUCAUUCUCCGUGACUCAGGCUUGUGAUGGCUCCCCGUUUUCUGUCACAC